AUUGAACGCUGGCGGCAUGCUUUACACAUGCAAGUCGAACGGCAGCGGGGGGGCUCUUGCUUCUCUGCCGGCGAGUGGCGAGCGGGUGAGUCAUACAUCGGAACUUAUCGAGAGGAGGGGGUUAACCACCCGAAAAGGUGCCUAAUACCGCAUAAAUUCUGAGGAAGAAAGCUGGGGACCUGGGAAUAGGCCUAGCGCUUUUUAAACGGCCGAUGUCGGAUUAGCUAGUUGGUGAGGUAAAGGCUCACCAAGGCGAAGAUCUGUAGCGGGUAUGAGAGGAAGAUCCGACAGACGGGGACUGAGACACGGCCGAGACUCCUGCGGGAGGCAGCAGUGGGGAAUUUUGGACAAUGGGGGAAAGGCUGAUACAGCAAUGCCGGGUGUAUGAAGAAGGACUUAGGGUUGUAAAGUACUUUUGUUAGGGAAGAAAAGUCAGCUGUGAAUAAUGGAUGAUACUGACGGUACCUAAAGAAUAAGCACCGGCUAACUACGUG
rnacentral:rRNA from 1 species